rnacentral:lncRNA from 1 species
CCUGACCGGAUUCUUCAACUUCAUACUACGCGUUCUUGGGAUUUCUUGGACGCAGAAUCAGGCAUUGGAUCGCAGCGACUCCGGCGAAAAGCUUCCAGUGACGUUAUAAUUGGCAUCAUUGAUACUGGUAAUUUCCUUUAUUUUUAUCUGCGACAACAUUCCACACCUGCAGUUAGUGGAGAAACUCUAUCUUAAAUGUCAAAUUUUAGGAACAGACACUAUAGUAGAAAAAGAAAGAUACAUAAAGCAAAUAUGUUAGGUUUAAUGUUUUACCCGAUUCUUCAUUCUUAAUUACAUGCAAACAUAUGUUCUUAUGAUGUUGCAUAGAAUGAAAAUAUGUGAUGCUAGUUUAUGUCUGCAGGUGUAUGGCCAGAAUCACCUAGUUUCAAUGAUGCUGGGAUGGGGAGGAUCCCAUCAAGAUGGAAAGGGAUUUGCAUGGAAGGAUCUGACUUCAAAAAAUCUAACUGUAAUAGGUAAAUGCAUAAGCUGCUAGUUGGCAAUGGAAAGAAUUAUUUAAAAAUUGUCUUGAUAAAAUUGCGAGGAAAUAUUAAUACAUUCUUACUUUUGAUGCACAUACUCUUCAAAUGAAGUUUAGGAAGUCGAAGAUUAGUAAGAGUCAUACUUCCAGAAUCAGACUUUGUUGGGAAGAUUCUCAUUUCUAGGACAUUUUAAUACAACAAUUUGAUGUUUUCAAUCAAAUUAAAUGAUUCGAGGAAAAAACUUAAUAUAACAUGAUCAUCCUCAUUAUUUUUUUUAUCCAACUGACACACACAAGAAACAAUGAAACUGUUUGAAAGAGUAGAUUGAAGCCUUUUUAUCAUCAUACAUAUUCCUCACCUCUGUUUAAGCUCCUGUGAAUUCGUAGGAAGCUGAUAGGUGCAAGAUACUACACCAGCCAACCAGAAUCGAUCCGACCUCCAUCAAAUGGAUCCCAUGCCAUCAAAGUAGAUGCUUUUGGAUCACCAAGGGAUUCUGUAGGCCAUGGC